rnacentral:rRNA from 1 species
CAGUAGCCACGGUAAUACGGAGGGUGCAAGCGUUAAUCGGAAUUACUGGGCGUAAAGCGCACGCAGGCGGUCUGACAAGUCAGAUGUGAAAUCCCCGGGCUUAACCUGGGAACUGCAUUUGAAACUGUCAGGCUGGAGUCUUGUAGAGGGGGGUGGAAUUCCAGGUGUAGCGGUGAAAUGCGUAGAGAUCUGGAGGAAUACCGGUGGCGAAGGCGGCCCCCUGGACAAAGGCUGACGCUCAGGUGCGAAAGCGUGGGGAGUAAACAGGAUUAGAUACCCCGGUAGUCCCUGUCUCUUAUAC